GACUCAAGGACCUAAAUUCCUCCGUUUCAGACUUUGUGUGUGCUGAAGGAAGUGGUUUUCUUAAUUCCCUUUAGAUAGGAGACUGCCCUAGGUUUGGGACAUGUCAGAGAGCAAGGGAACAUAGGAGAAAAGAUUGGAAUGUCAGAUAACUUUGGGAAUGGGAGCCUGUAUUUUUAGAAAUAAGAACUAACAGGUUCCUAUCUCUUCUCUUUCAUGGAAGGAGAAGGGAUCUAUCCUAUGGAAACAACUUUGAGGUUGUGAUUCAUUUGAAACUGAAGUCACUUUGGAUUGGAACUAAAAGGGAAACUUGUCUAAGGUAACAGGUGGGAAAGCCUCCUGAAAACUCCAGAGCUGUGAUAGCUUGGGCAAGAAAAUCCUACCAUUUGAGUCCAUUACUGAAUGACUCAGUGAAUACUAACUGCCUUUGGGAAACAAGAACUGCUGGCCCAGAAAUACCUUUUGGAGUUGUAAUUCCAGGAGACUGGGUGUCUUUUAAAUCUUGGAAGGAGCAGAUUGGGAAGGAUCUUAUCAGAUGUUACUGAUGACCAAGACUUCAGUCCAGAAGCUGAGGAAGGUUGAAUUCAUUACACUAGGGUUAAAGAACCUGGAACCUCAAGAAUGAACUGUUAUGGUCAAUUUAUAUCCUCUAAAAUUGGGAGUAAUUAAGAAUGUUUUGGUAGGAGGAGAUUAAUAAUUGUGCUUGGAGAAUAGUUGGGUGAACAGGUGGGAACAUCAGGCUUAGCCCCUGAUUCUCUAAUUUGAAAAAUUACUACAUUUCUUGAAACCAUCUUGUCAGCCCUGGGGGAAAAGAGUUUGUUUGGGUUUUAUAGUCUCCAAACAAGGAAUGGGUUUAUUGAUAGUUUACAAGUUUGUUAUAUUGAAAUGAUUUCUAAUGUUUAUCUAUUACACCAGAAUGACUUUUUACUACAAAAAAAGAAAAAAAAAGGAGGGCAAACAUGUUAAGUGAAAUCUCUUAUGUAUGUGAGGUUUAGUAAGCUUUGUUUAAUUGCUUGUAUAGAGUCAUCUUAAAGCUGUACUUAUUAUUUAAAGCGAUUCUGAGAAUAGUUGUCUAUGCCUUUGUCCCUUUGAACAUGGUUAAUAACUGAAGAUUUUUUUAUAUUUCUAAAACUUGAACCUUUGAUUAUUGGUUAUUGAACAUCUUAAAGCAAAAUGAUUUGUGUUGUGUUGACCUUAAAACCAUCUACUUAGAUAUAAAAGAUAAACUGUGAAUUUUCUAGGAUGAAUCUCUUACCGUUAUCAUUGUAAGAUUAUAGUCAAUACUUAUUAAGGAUAUGUCAUCCUUGAGAGCUAAAUUUACCUGAAGCUUUGAUUAAUGAGAUUUGCUAUUUCAGAUAAAAUCUCUUGGGA